rnacentral:tRNA from 1 species
GCAAGUCCCUCUAUCCCCA